rnacentral:lncRNA from 1 species
CCCGUUUCCAGGUCCCCCUCUGCCUGACACUAGCACCCUGCAGGUUCCUCUGCUGCCUUGGCAGAGCAUGCCACCCAUGUAUCUAGAAUGUUUCCGUGGCUCCGGGUGUUUGCCAGGCCUGCAUGGCUCUCCAUGUUCCUCUCUGGCCUGCAUCCUGUCAAGCGGAUCUCAGAGCCGGCCUCUCUUCUCUUCAUCUGUGCUCCAUUCUCUUUUGCACCUUUCCGUCGUCGUCUUUGUCGUCGUCGUCUCGCCUACACUCCCUCUUCCAACAGUUCCCGUUCUCCAGGAUGCCUGGAGCCCGAGCCAGUCACCCACCAUCUGUCCUGUUGCUGCAGUCGGUAUGGGAAUCGGCUUCCAUGGUGACACUUACUGUAUGGUGCCCCAUCACUGAUGUCUGUGUUUCCUUGUUUCAUGCCUGCUACAUCCUGGGCUCCCACACCUAACUCACACACAUGUGUAAACUGGAUUCUUUCCACCCAUGCUGUGUGCCUGAAUCGACAGCACAGAGUUGACCUGUCUGUGACACGGUGUGUACUCGGCUCUGUGAUCUGGGAUCGUGUUUUCUGGUUUAGAGAAGUGGACCUCCAACCAGCUAGCUGGUCUUUGAGGUGCCCGAGGAGGCCUUAAAGA